CAGGGUUCUCCCAUGGGCUGAUGUCAUGAGAAGUAUUUGUGUGUCUGACUAUUGUAUGUAUAGGUGAAGAGGGCUCCUGCGGCUGAUCGGUUCCAGGCUGAGAGAAGAAUUUCUUCCACAGGAUACAUAUUACAACAGAAAAAUUAGAGUAAACAAGGAUAAGGUGGUCACGGAACCUUGAAAAUUUGUACCAGCAUUGAGUGAGUUGCAGUGGGCGUGGCCUCUGGGUAUAAAAUGACAGUUGUCCAAAAGGGGAAUACAAUUUACUGGGAACAACUAACAUAUCUCACCAAGAAGCAUGUAUUAACCCAGGAGUAGAGGAGAAGCACCAAGGCAGCAGGAGACAGGAGACAUAAAAGAUCAUCAUGGCAGAACCAGGAGGUGAACAAUCUUCAAGAACACCUCAUGGCCUCCUGCCAGAGUUGGACUGUUCUGGGAACCUAACGACCCCUGACUCAGAGGUUUCAGCAGUCAUGGACAUGCGCAUAAAAACUGAGCCUGUUGAGCAGGACAUGUCUCACCCUGCUGAUUGUACUGAAAUACAGGGUUUCAGCACUGAACAGCUGGGCUCAGGGCUGCACCUGUGUGUUGACCAAAUUAAACAGGAGUCUGUGCUUCUCAACAUAAAGCAAGAGAGUGAUGAUGGAGAGCUGUGCAGCACCACAGAGAUGAUCUGCUUUCCCUCAGAGCAGUUAAACUCUGGUACAUGUCUGUUAGCCAAACAAUGUAGGUCACAGACAGGUGAAGUUAUGGCAGAGCAGACAUCUUUGUUACAGGAGCCCUCUGUUUCAAACACAGAAAUGCACGGAGCUGCAUUUUAUCCCAUAAAAGAGAAGCAUGAGGUCAUAGAGGGGUAUCAGUUAAGCUUCUCUCCGUUAACUGAACAACAUAAACAAGAGACAGAUGCAGUGAAAUCAGAGCAGAAUUCUUUACCAAAUGACCUUACACAGAAGAGUUUGGUUGAGCCAAAUAGCAGUUCAGCUGCUGAAGGUGCUUUGGAACAAUCUAUGAGACCUGGCACCAGUGGCAUAAAUCACAGGACCAGUAAACAGCCAUUUCAUGAUAGUAUUACUACUGAAGCCCAGAAUUCGAAGGAAAAAUUUCAAUGUAUUCGGUAUGGAAAGAGUUUUUCUCAAGUAAGUACCUUAAAACAGCACCGGCCUGUUCAUUCUCGUGAAAAACCACAUGCGUGUCAUCUUUGUGGGAAGAGGUUUGGCGACAGACGUGCCUUAACA